UACGUAGGGUGCGAGCGUUGUCCGGAAUUAUUGGGCGUAAAGAGCUCGUAGGCGGUCUGUCGCGUCGAUCGUGAAAACUUGGGGCUUAACCCUGAGCUUGCGGUCGAUACGGGCAUGACUGGAGUUCGGCAGGGGAGACUGGAAUUCCCGGUGUAGCGGUGAAAUGCGUAGAUAUCGGGAGGAACAUCAGUGGCGAAGGCGGCUACCUGGCCCAAUACUGACACUCAGGUGCGACAGCGUGGGGAGCAAACAGG
rnacentral:rRNA from 1 species